rnacentral:rRNA from 1 species
CACGUAGGGUGCGAGCGUUGUCCGGAAUUAUUGGGCGUAAAGAGCUCGUAGGUGGUUUGUCGCGUCUGCCGUGAAAGCCCGGGGCUUAACUCCGGGUCUGCGGUGGAUACGGGCAGACUAGAGGCAGGUAGGGGAGAACGGAAUUCCCGGUGUAGCGGUGAAAUGCGUAGAUAUCUGGAGGAACACCGGUGGCGAAGGCGGCAUCCUGGACCAAUUCUGACGCUGAGGAGCGAAAGCGUGGGGAGCGAACAGG